GGCUAGUUAGCCAAGGACCAUACUUUUGUGUUACACUUUCAGCUUCUCAGCUAUAACACCUUCAACACAAGGAGAAAGUCCCCGGAAUACUCAGCUGUCCAACGAUUAAUGAUGGGUACAAGGAUAGUUGUCAAUUUCAUUCCAUUCAAUGUUUAUUCAUAGGAACAAAAGUAAUAUGGUCAUCCUAUAUAAUAGGAAAACAUAAUGGGGCUUACUCUGGCUUUUAUC
rnacentral:RNase_MRP_RNA from 1 species